AGACUGCCGGUGCAAACCGGAGGAAAGGUGGGGAUGACGUCAAGUCCUCAUGGCCCUUAUGGGUAGGGCUUCACACGUCAUACAAUGGUCGGUACAGAGGGUUGCCAAGCCGCGAGGUGGAGCCAAUCCCUUAAAGCCGAUCGUAGUCCGGAUCGUAGUCUGCAACUCGACUACGUGAAGUCGGAAUCGCUAGUAAUCGUGGAUCAGCAUGUCACGGUGAAUACGUUCCCGGGUCUU
rnacentral:rRNA from 1 species